GCCAGCAUGGCAUAGUGGUUUGAGCAUUGGAUUAUGACUCUGAAGCCUCAGGUUCAAUUCCCAAAUUGGCC